AGUCCCUUGUGCUGUCGAACUUUUUUUCCGCUCGCCUCGCGUUUUGUCUCCCAUCGCACCAUCGAAGUUUUUUUCCGCUCGCCUCACGUCUUCUCUCCCAUCACACCGUCGAUUUUUGUAACCAUCGAUUUGUGCCGAUCGUUUUGCAUCUGGCCAUCGAUUUGUACCAAUUGUUUUGUGUUUAGCCAUCGAUUUUCGUCUAGCUCGUCCGUCGAUCGUUUUAUGCCAUCGAUUUGUGUCGAUCGUCUAGCUCAUCCGUCGAUCAAUUUUCGUCUAGCAAUCAUUUUGUGUUGCGUCCGUCGUUCGUUUUGUGCAGCGUCGCUCGUCGAUCCACCCUGACGGUUUUUCGUUCUAGCCAUCGACCGUCUGUAGCACCGCUGGUCCAUCGAUGUGCUCUGUUCGAUCAGUCUAGCCACUAUUUGCUUUGUGCUUCGAUUGUGUCGUCUGGGACUUUUGCCUUUAAACAACCACAGUGGACUAGUGAUUGUAUUUCCAACUAUAACAUUUAAGUUAAAUACGUGGGGUGUUUACAUAUUCUUAUGUUUGCUCUAUUAAGAGCUUGGAUUUAAAAAGUUUCAAGUUGGCAAGGGUUGAUGGUCAUGAAAAUUUCAUUCACGGUGAAAAUAUGGGUAUUGUAAGAAUGUAUUGAAGUGGUGAAGCUAUCAAGCAAGUGAUUGACAUUUGGUUAAUAUAAAAUUUGUUGUAAUGUGGUUACUCGUUGGCAAUACAUUGUAUUUAGUUUCUUUGUAAGAAUUUUGCAAAAGUUUGGUUAU